rnacentral:rRNA from 1 species
UACAGAGGUCCCAAGCGUUGUUCGGAUUCAUUGGGCGUAAAGGGUGUGUAGGUGGCGCCGUAAGUCGGGUGUGAAAUUUCGGAGCUUAACUCCGAAACUGCAUUCGAUACUGCGGUGCUUGAGGACUGGAGAGGAGACUGGAAUUCAUGGUGUAGCAGUGAAAUGCGUAGAGAUCAUGAGGAGGACCAGUGGCGAAGGCGGGUCUCUGGACAGUUCCUGACACUGAGACACGAAGGCCAGGGGAGCAAACGGG